rnacentral:misc_RNA from 1 species
GAUGAAGAACGUAGCGAAAUGCGAUACGUAAUGUGAAUUGCAGAAUUCAGUGAAUCAUCGAAUCUUUGAACGCAUAUUGCGCUCUUUGGUAUUCCGAAGAGCAUGCUUGUUUGAGUAUCAGUAAACACCUCAAAGACUUCAAUUUGUUUUGAAUGGCUUUGGACUUGAGCAAUCCCAACACCAGUCUUUACGAUCGGUGGAGGGUUGCUUGAAAUGCAGGUGCAGCUGGACAUUCUCCUGAGCUAAAAGCAUAUUAAUUUAGUCCCGUCAAACGGAUUAUUACUUUUGCUGCAGCUAACAUAAAGGGAGUUUGACCGUAUUGGCUGACUGAUGCAGGAUUUCACAAGGGUCGGCAACGAUUCUUGUAAAACUCGAUCUCAAAUCAAGUAAGACUACCCGCUGAACUUAAGCAUAUCAAUAAGCGGAGGA